rnacentral:rRNA from 1 species
GAUGAACGCUGGCGGCGUGCCUAAUACAUGCAAGUCGAGCGAACGGACGAGAAGCUUGCUUCUCUGAUGUUAGCGGCGGACGGGUGAGUAACACGUGGAUAACCUACCUAUAAGACUGGGAUAACUUCGGGAAAACGGAGCUAAUACCGGAUAAUAUUUUGAACCGGAUGGUUCAAAAGUGAAAGACGGUCUUGCUGUCACUUAUAGAUGGAUCCGGGCUGCAUUAGCUAGUUGGUAAGGUAACGGCCUACCAAGGCAACGAUGCAUAGCCGACCUGAGAGGGUGAUCGGCCACACUGGAACUGAGACACGGUCCAGACUCCUACGGGAGGCAGCAGUAGGGAAUAUUCCACAAUGGGCGCAAGCCUGACGCAGCAACGCCGCGUGAGUGAUGAAGGUCUUCGGAUCGUAAAACUCUGUUAUUAGGGAAGAACAUAUGUGUAAGUAACUGUGGACAUCUUGACGGUACCUAAUCAGAAAGCCACGGCUAACUUCGUG